rnacentral:rRNA from 1 species
ACUCCUACGGGAGGCAGCAGUGGGAAUACUUGCACAAUGGGCGCAAGCCUGAUGCAGCCGAUGCCGCGUGUGUGAAGAAGGCCUUCGGGUUGUAAAGCACUUUCUAGUCGUGAGGAAGGUAGUGUAGUUAAUAGCUGCAUUAUUUGACGUUAGCGACAGAAGAAGCACCGGCUAACUCCGUGCCAGCAGCCGCGGUAAUACGGAGGGUGCGAGCGUUAAUCGGAAUUACUGGGCGUAAAGCGCAUGCAGGUGGUUUGUUAAGUCAGAUGUGAAAGCCCGGGGCUCAACCUCGGAAUAGCAUUUGAAACUGGCAGACUAGAGUACUGUAGAGGGGGUAGAAUUCUA